rnacentral:rRNA from 1 species
AGCGUAGGCGGUUCGAUAAGUCGGGUGUGAAACCUCCAGGCUCAACCUGGAGACGCCACCCGAUACUGUCGUGACUAGAGUCCAGUAGGGGAGCGUGGAAUUCCUGGUGUAGCGGUGAAAUGCGCAGAUAUCAGGAGGAACACCAGCGGCGAAGGCGGCGCUCUGGGCUGGAACUGACGCUGAGGAGCGAAAGCGUGGGAGCGAACA